rnacentral:rRNA from 1 species
CAAGUCGAACGAGAGAAUUGCUAGCUUGCUAAUAAUUCUCUAGUGGCGCACGGGUGAGUAACACGUGAGUAACCUGCCCCCGAGAGCGGGAUAGCCCUGGGAAACUGGGAUUAAUACCGCAUAGUAUCGAAAGAUUAAAGCAGCAAUGCGCUUGGGGAUGGGCUCGCGGCCUAUUAGUUAGUUGGUGAGGUAACGGCUCACCAAGGCGAUGACGGGUAGCCGGUCUGAGAGGGUGACCGGUCACAUUGGGACUGAGAUACGGCCCAGACUCC